rnacentral:rRNA from 1 species
ACAGUGCAUGGUGGGCAGUUUGACUGGGGCGGUCUCCUCCCAAAGUGUAACGGAGGAGUUCGAAGGUACGCUAGGUACGGUCGGAAAUCGUGCUGAUAGUGCAAUGGCAUAAGCGUGCUUGACUGUGAGACUGACAAGUCGAACAGGUGCGAAAGCAGGACAUAGUGAUCCGGUGGUUCUGAAUGGAAGGGCCAUCGCUCAACGGAUAAAAGGUACUCUGGGGAUAACAGGCUGAUACCGCCCAAGAGUUCAUAUCGACGGCGGUGUUUGGCACCUCGAUGUCGGCUCAUCUCAUCCUGGGGCUGUAGCCGGUCCCAAGGGUAUGGCUGUUCGCCAUUUAAAGAGGUACGUGAGCUGGGUUUAAAACGUCGUGAGACAGUUUGGUCCCUAUCUGCCGUGGGCGUUGGAUACUUGACGGAGCCUGCUCCUAGUACGAGAGGACCGGAGUGGACGUACCUCUGGUGUACCGGUUGUCAUGCCAAUGGCAUUGCCGGGUAGCUAAGUACGGAAGAGAUAACCGCUGAAGGCAUCUAAGCGGGAAACUCGUCUGAAGAUUAGGUAUCCCGGGGACUUGAUCCCCCUGAAGAGUCGUUCGAGAACAGGACGUUGAUAGGUCGGGUGUGGAAGCGCAGUAAUGCGUUAAGCUAACCGAUACUAAUUGCUCGUGAGGCUUGAUCCUAUAACACUGAUGGUUAUG